rnacentral:pre_miRNA from 1 species
AAACUGAAUAUGAGAAUUGGUGGAAAUUAAACCCAUUUGAUCUGGGGAACAAAUUAAAAUGGGUUUAAUUUCCUCCAAUAUCUCAUUUUCAGUUU